AUUGAACGCUGGCGGCAUGCCUUACACAUGCAAGUCGAACGGCAGCACGGGGGCAACCCUGGUGGCGAGUGGCGAACGGGUGAGUAAUACAUCGGAACGUGUCCUGGAGUGGGGGAUAGCCCGGCGAAAGCCGGAUUAAUACCGCAUACGCUCUAUGGAGGAAAGCGGGGGAUCUUCGGACCUCGCGCUCAAGGGGCGGCCGAUGGCGGAUUAGCUAGUUGGUAGGGUAAAGGCCUACCAAGGCGACGAUCCGUAGCUGGUCUGAGAGGACGACCAGCCACACUGGGACUGAGACACGGCCCAGACUCCUACGGGAGGCAGCAGUGGGGAAUUUUGGACAAUGGGGGCAACCCUGAUCCAGCAAUGCCGCGUGUGUGAAGAAGGCCUUCGGGUUGUAAAGCACUUUUGUCCGGAAAGAAAUCCUCUGGGUUAAUACCUCGGGGGGAUGACGGUACCGGAAGAAUAAGCG
rnacentral:rRNA from 2 species